GGGGAUAUAGCUCAGUGGUAAAGAGCCCCUGGGUUUAUGCCCCAGCACCAAAAACAAAACAAAACUAAACUAAAGGAAUGGGAGUAUAGCUCAGCGGUAGAGAGUCCCUAAGUUCCAUCCCCAGUACCCCCA
rnacentral:tRNA from 1 species